AUGCGAAAGGCGAUCCCAUGGCGAUCCGCCCGCGACACCCCAGAUCCAUCGUCGCUGCCUGAUGCUGCCGGCCCAAUCCAGUUCGAGGGGAAGCGCACUACAUCAUCUUGCCGUGUGCUCGCUGAUGAGGACCCGUUGGGACUCAACGAGAUCCAGAGGAAGAUGUCAGGGGCGAUCCGCUCUCUGAUGGCCCGGAAGGAAGCAAGAAAGGGCGUGAAUGACGCGGGAGGGGGAUUGAGAGGAUCACAACCAGAUGUGGUAUUGGGACGAAUCCGGGAAGGUAUGGAUCGGAUCCGAAUGUCUCUGCAGGGCAGCAGAUCGCAGGAGGAGAUCCUGAAAAGCGAAUGGGACUGGAGUACCGGAUCGACAGCAAGCCCGGCACCGGAAUACACGCUGGGGAUGGACGACACUCAGUCCAUCAAAUCUAGCAAGAGUCAGGAGGGCGUACCGUUGUUUGCAGGUGAAAUCCCAGCAAUGUCCAUGGGAAUCAAACAUGAAAGGAGUUGGUCGACAGAGGAAAGUGAUGAGCCAUUGUCAAGCGAUAGCGGGGAGAAUCGGGCACGAAGAGAUUGA
rnacentral:rRNA from 1 species